AUUGAACGCUGGCGGAAUGCUUUACACAUGCAAGUCGAACGGCAGCACGAGAGCUUGCUCUUGGUGGCGAGUGGCGAACGGGUGAGUAAUAUAUCGGAACGUAUCCAAUAAUGGGGGAUAACUAAUCGAAAGGUUGGCUAAUACCGCAUACGCCCUACGGGGGAAAGCAGGGGAUCUUCGGACCUUGCGUUAAUGGAGCGGCUGAUAUCUGAUUAGCUAGUAGGUGAGGUAAAGGCUCACCUAGGCUUCGAUCAGUAGCUGGUCUGAGAGGACGACCAGCCACACUGGAACUGAGACACGGUCCAGACUCCUACGGGAGGCAGCAGUGGGGAAUUUUGGACAAUGGGGGCAACCCUGACCCAGCCAUUCCGCGUGAGUGAAGAAGGCCUUCGGGUUGUAAAGCUCUUUCGCAAGGGAAGAAACGUUACGAGCGAAUAACUCGUGAUAAUGACGGUACCUUGAUAAGAAGCACCGGCUAACUACGUG
rnacentral:rRNA from 1 species